UACGGGGGGGGCAAGCGUUGUUCGGAAUUACUGGGCGUAAAGGGCGCGUAGGCGGUUUGCUAAGUUGGAUGUGAAGACUCUGGGCUUAACCCAGAGCCUGCGUCCAAAACUGGCAAACUUGAGUACUGGAGGGGAAAGCGGAAUUCCUGGUGUAGCGGUGAAAUGCGUAGAUAUCGGAAGGAACGCCGGUGGCGAAAGCGACUGUCUGGGGUGCCUGUGACGCUGAGGCGCGAAAGCCAGGGGAUCAAACGGG
rnacentral:rRNA from 1 species